rnacentral:rRNA from 1 species
CAGUAGCGUACGUUGAUGUUGCUGCAGUUAAAAAGCUCGUAGUUGAAUUUCUGCUUCGCUAGGUCCGGCCCGGCAAUCUAAUUGCUGUGUGCUGGCUCCUCGCAGGCAUCUUUGUGCUCGUGGCGGCUGGUCUUCAUUGAUUCGGUCGUUUGCGUUCACAUCUGUCACUUUGAGUAAAUCCGAGUGCUCCAAGCAGGCAUUCGCUAUGAAGGUUUAAGCAUGGAAUGACAAUAUAGGACAUAUCCGCAUGUUGUCGGUCACGUGGAAAUGUAAUGAUUGAUAGGAAGGACCGGGGGUGGCUAGUAUUGGUUGGCCAGCGGUGAAAUGCAUGGAUUCAAUCAAGACUUACUACUGCGAAGGCAUUCACCAAGAGCCUCUCCUUUAAUCAAGAACGAAAGUUA